rnacentral:rRNA from 1 species
GAUGAACGCUGGCGGCGUGCCUAAUACAUGCAAGUCGAGCGAAGCGGGGACGGGUGAGGAACACGUGGCUAACCUCCUAUAAGACUGGGAUCACUACGGGAAACCGGAGCUCAAUAGGAUACUAAUAGAUGGUACCGCGGUGCAUUAGCUAGUUGGUACGGUAACGGCUUACCAAGGCAACGAUGCAUAGCCGACCUGAGAGGGUGAUCGGCCACACUGGAACUGAGACACGGUCCAGACUCCUACGGGAGGCAGCAGUAGGGAAUCUUCCGCAAUGGGCGAAAGCCUGACGGAGCAACGCCGCGUGAGUGAUGAAGGUCUUCGGAUCGUAAAGCUCUGUUAGUAGGGAAGCGUUACCUAAUCAGUAAGCCACGGCUAACUACGUGCCAGCAGCCGCGGUAAUUC